rnacentral:rRNA from 1 species
AUGGUCGAUCCUAAUGCUAAUAUUCUUCCACUUGACAAAGCUUUCGAGAUGUUCUCGCGUGAGGAGGCUAAAUUGAUCAAGCUUGAUGCACCUAAAUAUGAAGAUCUAUUAGACAGGGGCACAAUCUCGGAAAUCUAUGAUGACAUUGUUGCUUUCCGUGAAUACGUGGACAAAGUGCUGUUGAAAUUGCGCCACUUGCUUAAGAAGGCUGAAGCAGCACUGGAAACCGAAGAUGUGAUGGAGAAAGCUGCAACAAAUGGCGUUGACUCCAUGCAGCAAGUUGACCAUACAUGCUUAGCAGUAGACCUGGAAGUACCGAACCAACAAUGUCAUAUCACAGUUCAUGGUUGA